ensembl:misc_RNA Y_RNA Y RNA
GAUUAGUCAAACAUGGAGAAAGGAUCUCAAUUGAUUGUUCACAAUCAGUUACAGAUCAAACUCCUUAUUCUACUCUUUCCCCCCUUCUCACCACUGCACUCGACUAGUCUAAA